GACAGAGGGUGCAAACGUUGUUCGGAAUUACUGGGCGUAAAGCGAGUGUAGGCGGUUUCCUAAGUCAGGUGUGAAAGCCCCGGGCUCAACCCGGGAAGUGCACUUGAAACUGGGAGGCUAGAGUAUCGGAGAGGUUGGUGGAAUUCGUCGGUGUAGAGGUGAAAUUCGUAGGAUAAUCGAGAGGAACACCGGUGGCGAAGGCGGCCAACUGGACGAAAUGACUGACGCUGAGACUCGAAAGCGUGGGGAGCAAACAGGA
rnacentral:rRNA from 1 species